rnacentral:rRNA from 1 species
CAGCCGCCGCGGUAACACGUAGGGUGCAAGCGUUAAUCGGAAUUACUGGGCGUAAAGCGUGCGCAGGCGGUUUGUUAAGACAGAUGUGAAAUUCCCGGGCUCAACCUGGGAACUGCAUUUGUGACUGGCAAGCUAGAGUGUGGCAGAGGGGGGUGGAAUUCCGCGUGUAGCAGUGAAAUGCGUAGAUAUGCGGAGGAACACCGAUGGCGGAGGCAGCCCCCUGGGCCAACACUGACGCUCAUGCACGAAAGCGUGGGGAGCAAACAGGAUUAGAGACCCCCGUAGUCCCUGUCUCUUAUAC